CCUACGGGCGGCAGCAGUGAGGAAUAUUGGUCAAUGGACGAGAGUCUGAACCAGCCAAGUAGCGUGAAGGAUGACUGCCCUAUGGGUUGUAAACUUCUUUUAUAUGGGAAUAAAACAGGGUAUGCAUACCCUCUUGUAUGUACCAUAUGAAUAAGGAUCGGCUAAUUCCGUGCCAGCAGCCGCGGUAAUACGGAAGGUCCGGGCGUUAUCCGGAUUUAUUGGGUUUAAAGGGAGCGUAGGCCGCAUGUCAAGCGUGCUGUGAAAUGUCCGGGCUCAACCCGGGCCUUGCAGCGCGAACUGGCGUGCUUGAGUCCGCGGAAAGCAGGCGGAAUUCGUCGUGUAGCGGUGAAAUGCAUAGAUAUCACGCAGAACUCCGAUUGCGAAGGCAGCAUACCGGCGCUCAACUGACGCUCAUGCACGAAAGUGUGGGUAUCGAACAGGAUUAGAUACCCGAGUAGUC
rnacentral:rRNA from 1 species